rnacentral:lncRNA from 1 species
CCCGGGUCGUCGGCCGUCGCUGGCGGCGGCGUAGCGUGCUGCUCCUGCUAAGGGGAGGAGUGCGUGCACGAGGCCCAUGUGUAAGUUGCUGUGUGCUAGCUAGGUUGAUGGUUUUGCCAUGUAUUUAUAGAGAGAUUUGCAGGUGAAGCUUCAUGUCCUCUUGUGUUGUGGUGUUCGUGCGUGAUGUGCAUGCGUACAAGUUUAAUGGAUUGAUUCGUCCACGUGGAUUGAAGCUUUUGAGAUGUGAGCAUUUGACUCUAUGAUCGGCGGCUAGUUCGUCGGUGCUGCUCGAUCGAUCAUAUCUCGAUCCAGUGCUUAAUCGUGUCAAUCUUGUUGAUAGGGCUUGAAGGAGAACAGCAAGAUGGCAAUGAUCUCAAAUUCUCAGGUCAUUUGCGUAAACG